GGUUCUAUGUGUCCGCUAUAAAACCCCCAAUUUUUAAAGGUU
rnacentral:rRNA from 1 species